GACUAGUGACAGAGUGAGAGAGGGGGUGACUAGUGACAGAGUGAGGGAUGGGGUGACUAGUGACAGUCACCCCCUCUUUCACUCUGUCACUAGUCACCCCCUCUCUCACUCUGUCACCAGUCAU